ACCCGACAGAAGCUCCGGUGAGCCGAUUUAUGUUUUGUAUUAUUAUUAUUUUUUUUCUUUACCUUCCGGGUAAUUCGUCGGUUUUUCAGAAGUCAACGGCUGGUCAACCUUCGGUUCGGGUUCUCGGUCAAGUUCGAGUCCAGAUCAGACACAAGUUCGAGCGUUUGGUUCAUGCUCGGGAGUCUCGGGUCAGAAUUUCGGGUUCAACAUCAAGCGUUGGAGUGGGUAUCAAUUCAAGUCUCGUUUCAGUUCAAGAGAUGAACUCGGUUUAGUUCAGAUUUGCGAUUCAGAUUAUGUUUCGUUUCAGGUCAACGUUAGUCAGCAGGUUCAGUUGACUCGGUCAAACCCGAGUCAACUCGGUCAACACAGUCAAACCGAGUCAACUGAGUUGACUCGGUCAGUUCAGUUAAGCGGCUCGACUUUUCGGCGUAAUGACUUGGUUGCAUUUCUAAGACAAAGCACGGUUGGAAUAGGAGGACCAUGAAGAGUCGAGUACUUAGUGGGCGUUCAGUUUCUAGAAAGACUUAGCUUAUUUGCUUCCGCUGUGCAAUGAAGAUACCAGUCCAGUCACAACAAGGCUCUGAUAAUUUCGUGGUGUGACAGAUUGGUAUCAGAGCUAUAGGUUACAGCGAAUUAGGUUUCUGUUGUGAUACAUAGGCUCUAACCUCACCUUUCCCCCCCUGGGGACUUAGAUCAUUGAGACGUUGAAUACAUACAGAACGCCUAGUACUCGAAUAUGGUCUCUAACCGUUGCCGAAAAACAAGCAGUCAAAAUAUUGUUUUCAAACAUACGCUGUUAUGGUGUUUCAUACACGGUGCAUAAAAUAAUUACAUACAGUACACAACACUCUGAGAGUUUAGGAAACAUGCAUUUAAAACCUUCGGAAAAGGGAAUUCGGUCUGAGAGGCUGGGAGGAUAGUCUAGUGGGACUAGGAGAUUCAGUCUGGGAGGCUGGAAGGGUAGUCUAGUGGGACUAGAAGAUUCAGUCUGAGAGGCUGGGAGGAUAGUCUAGUGGGACUAGGAGAUGCAGUCUGAGAGGCUGAAAGGAUAGUCUAGUGGGACUAGGAGAUUCCGUCUGAGAGGCUGGAAGGAUAGUCUAGUGGGACUAGGAGAUUCAGUCUGAGAGGCUGGAAGGAUAGUCUAGUGGGACUAGGGGAUUCAGUCUGAGAGGCUGGGAGGGUAGACUAGUGGGACUAGGGGAAUUACUUGAUUGCUUAUUGAUGACUAACAUGCGUAUAUGAUCGAUUAUUUGUGCAUGGACAUCACGUAGGAAUCACGAAUAUCAACUCGGGUACACACUAUUAUCCACAUUGUCUAUGAUAUUUUAACUCCCCGAGCAGGCAGCCUACGCAUAACAAAACGAUAGCGCACGGGAAUACAUGGAACUCAAUUUUUACGUCCACGGAUGUCGGGGUACAUCACUUUCUACAUGGCACACGACGCUAGUGCACAGGUAUACGUGGAACUUAAGCUUACAUCAACAGAGGUUGAAGUACGUCACAUACGACUAUCAAGGCGAGGCCUUUGAAAAGACGCGAUGGCGCAACUCAACGACGACGCUAGAUUCCUGUCAGCAGGAGAACUAACGGCCAGGAAACGACAACUUGUCACGCGAUCCUGCAACGACACGAAUCACUCCAAGGAAAAGACGUAUGUCUCCACAUCCCCCCUAUUUCGGUUAACGACGGUAAUGUCACCUAACAAUUGGUCGUCACACGAAACCCCAGGUUAAGUCUUCAAAUUUCUAUUAUUGAAAUUUCGAAUUUCACGCUCACUGAGUAGAUUUUCGCAUCUCUACUCCUCUCAAUGGUCAUUGUAUCACGAUCAUUUCUUUACAAGUUACAUACAUGGUUUUUCAUUGUGACCAUGCCGAAAGUUUUCUUGUUGAUACAUAUGUUUAUUGUCGGAUUGCGCAAAAACCAAGUUCAAUUGUUUGAACUUGUCCAUUACACAUGUUCGAUUCAAAACAUCAUAUGAUGUAUUGAGAACAUCAUAUUCAAAUUCGUAUUAACAAGUGUUUCAUUUGUUCCGAGUCGAAGUAAACUUGUUUGGCAUUCGACUCCAUUAGAUUGUUUGUUGAUCUCGACACCUUGUGGUCGUGUUUUCACUUAACUAAAGCUUGCGCUAAACUCAUUUCGGCAUCUCAUGCACGGAUUUAAAUAUUACUUAUUGAUUGCUAUAAAUCCGCUUUGAUUUAUCAUAAUUAAAACAGUCUUAAUACAAUAGUGUGUUAAGACAAUGGUACACAAAUUCAUUUUUACAUUCCGGUGUACCUACUAACGGUUCCUUCAUUAUCGAUCGAAAAUUUUGCGAUUGCUUCUUCACCUUCGAUCGAAAACAUUAUUUCUUUGAUGUUCAAAUCUCAAUUGAAAAAUUCUAUGAUGUCAUUUGAAACAAACUUUCGGAUUCACCUUAUUACGCUUUCAUUUGACUUCAAACACGGUGAAAUUGUUUGAUCACCGCUAAUAUUGGAUUAUUUAAAUCACUACGACACCUUGUGGUGUCGGUACAAACUUGUAGCUUGGGCUAAUUAUGAUUGAGCGUUUUAUGCAAAACACAGGUGAUACUUGUUCGAUCACCUCUAUUAUUGAAUUGUUUCAUUACGACACCUUGUGGUGUCGGUACAAACUUGUAGCUUGGGCUAAUUAUGAUUGAGCGUUUUAUGCAAAACACAGGUGAUACUUGUUCGAUCACCUCUAUUAUUGAAUUGUUUCAUUACGACACCUUGUGGCGUCGGUAUGACUUGCAGCUUGCGCUGAUCACGAUCGAGCGUUUCAUACAAACUAUUACAUUUGAGAUUGUUGAUUCUAAGUUCACCCAGUGGAUGUUAUUGCUUCUGGAGCUCAUUUACACGUUGUAAACGUUCAUAUGGAAUUCGAUUGGUCGAAGUUCCUGUUCAUUGUUGAAUCCCUGUUAACUUAGUCACAUUAGUGACUGUACCUAUACGUCUCGUUUCCUUUGAUAUCAGUUACUGAGACACAUUUCUUUUAAACCGUUGGGAUUCCUAUUGUGAAGGAUUGUCCUUGAAUUCACAUGACUCGAAUAAGUCUUGUUUCGAUUACGCGUUUAUUCACUUUGUUAUUAUUCGGACUUACCUGCGAAUAACACAAUUCCGAGGAGAUAACAUAGUCUAAAUUUCGAGGACGAAAUUUCUGUAACAGGGGGAGAAUGUGACAACCCGUGAUUUACGGCACCUAAUUACGUAAUUAACAGGCGAUUAACGCGAUAAUAAAUAAUGUUUACGACGCUAAUCACCUUAACCAGGCCCUUGGAGCGCCCAGGAACGUUUGUUCAGCUAUACAGCGCGUGUGGUGAUUUAUGGGAAAUCGGCUAAAUAUGAUGCGACAACGGACUGAUACCGCACGAAAUACUGACAACGCCGACAAAUAUAGAUGUUACAUGAAUAUUUUAUGCUUAUGGAGCUUGCGUUGCGUUAUCGGGUCUCGUAGGAAUUACGGGCCACUUACACAUGAGAUGGGCUUGUGGGCCCUGGGCCCAAGCCCAAAACCCACAAGCCUGAAACUGCACAUAAUAUAUUAAUAUAUUAAAAUCUGAACAAGAUUUGUAAGAUCCAUACAAGAUUUACAAUAUCUUUACAAAUCUUAACAAAAGAUUUUUGUCUCAAAAGAUUGGGACACACAAGAUCACCAAUAGAUCUUAACCUCCCUCUAUAUAAGAAACCUACCCCUCUCAUUAUUCUUGCCUGCAUAUUAAUUUACACACAUACAAAUUCUAAACAGCCUCUCAUUUUCACUCUCAUCCUCUCUCGGUCACACUCACUGAGCAAAUAAACACAGGGACCUCAUGUCCUCAAAUACUCAAGCAAACAAGAACCUGCUCUACUCUCAUCUCUCUUCUCCGGCUUCGGCUCUGGCAACCGGAGUGACGCCAUCUACCGGGUUCUAUUUCUAUCCUCUAUAACACCCACACCCUCUUUCUGUUAUAUACCCCCCCCCCCCCUCGACAGAUCAAGUAACGACCACCACCAUCGGGUGGUGGUAAGUGUUGAGCACUGAAACAAGAAGAGAGAGAGGAGAGAAUCGAGAGAGAGAAAGAGAAAGAAGGCGGAGAAGGGAGCGGCGCCGUCGCUCACGGCGGCGGCAAUGGAGGAGGCGGCGGGACGAUGGGUUUACAGGAGAUAACCAGAGAGAGAGAGAGAGAGGGAGAACCGGCGGUCAAAGGCUCGGACCGCCGGUCGGCUCGUUUAUCCGGUGGUCAGCAGGAUAUCCGGUGGGUUUCGCGGCAGCCGUUUCCACCCGACAGAAGCUCCGGUGAGCCGAUUUAUGUUUUGUAUUAUUAUUAUUUUUUUUCUUUACCUUCCGGGUAAUUCGUCGGUUUUUCAGAAGUCAACGGCUGGUCAACCUUCGGUUCGGGUUCUCGGUCAAGUUCGAGUCCAGAUCAGACACAAGUUCGAGCGUUUGGUUCAUGCUCGGGAGUCUCGGGUCAGAAUUUCGGGUUCAACAUCAAGCGUUGGAGUGGGUAUCAAUUCAAGUCUCGUUUCAGUUCAAGAGAUGAACUCGGUUUAGUUCAGAUUUGCGAUUCAGAUUAUGUUUCGUUUCAGGUCAACGUUAGUCAGCAGGUUCAGUUGACUCGGUCAAACCCGAGUCAACUCGGUCAACACAGUCAAACCGAGUCAACUGAGUUGACUCGGUCAGUUCAGUUAAGCGGCUCGACUUUUCGGCGUAAUGACUUGGUAAAGAUUAACGACACGAUUGCUUUGUUAUUUUUAUAGUUUUAUAUAUACGCGAAAACGAGCUUGAACCGAAUAAAAUCGACGAAAUCAUUAGUUAAAAAUACUCGAAUUAUUAUUUA